CAAUACCUACGGGAGGCAGCAGUGGGGGAUAUUGCACAAUGGGGGGAACCCUGAUGCAGCGACGCCGCGUGGGUGAAGAAGCGCCUCGGCGCGUAAAGCCCCGUCAGCAGGGAAGAAAAUGACGGUACCUGAAGAAGAAGCCCCGGCUAACUACGUGCCAGCAGCCGCGGUAAUACGUAGGGGGCAAGCGUUAUCCGGAUUUACUGGGUGUAAAGGGGGCGCAGACGGCGAUGCAAGCCAGGAGUGAAAACCCGGGGCCCACCCCCGGGACCGCUCUUGGACCUGCGUGGCUGGAGUGCCGGAGG
rnacentral:rRNA from 1 species